rnacentral:rRNA from 1 species
UGGGCCUACGGGGGGCAGCAGUCGAGAAUCAUUCACAAUGGGGGAAACCCUGAUGCAGCGACGCCGCGUGAGUGAAGAAGUAUUUCGGUAUGUAAAGCUCUAUCAGCAGGAACGAGACAAGACGGUACCUGACUAAGAAGCCCCGGCUAACUACGUGCCAGCAGCCGCGGUAAUACGUAGAGGGCAAGCGUUAUCCGGAAUCACUGGGUGUAAAGGGAGCGUAGACGGCUGUGCAAGCCUGAAGUGAAAGGCGGGGGCCCAACCCCCGGACUGCUUUGGGAACUGUACGGCUGGAGUGCAGGAGG